rnacentral:rRNA from 1 species
GUGCCAGCAGCCGCGGUAAUACGGAGGGUGCGAGCGUUAAUCGGAAUUACUGGGCGUAAAGCGCAUGCAGGUGGUUUGUUAAGUCAGAUGUGAAAGCCCGGGGCUCAACCUCGGAAUAGCAUUUGAAACUGGCAGACUAGAGUACUGUAGAGGGGGUAGAAUUUCAGGUGUAGCGGUGAAAUGCGUAGAGAUCUGAAGGAAUACCGGUGGCGAAGGCGGCCCCCUGGACAGAUACUGACACUCAGAUGCGAAAGCGUGGGGAGCAAACAGGAUUAGAUACCCUGGUAG